rnacentral:rRNA from 1 species
AGCGAAUUGAAACAUCUUAGUAGCUUGGAAAAAAAUCAAAAGAGAGUUCGAAAGUAAUGGCGAAUGAAAUCGAAUCAGUUUAAGGUUAAUAAUUUUAAAAUAAUGAAAUGUUGAUCAUUUGAAACAAAGUAAAUAAUUAAGGCUUGUAAUUGCAAAAUUAUUUUCCGUUGAUCGAAGCGUAAGAAACUAUGUUUCGUUGUAGAAUUAACUACUUAACAAAAAAUCUAAAUUUUUAUAGUGUAAAGUACCGUGAGGGAAAG